rnacentral:rRNA from 1 species
UCCUACGGGGGGCAGCAGUGGGGAAUAUUGCACAAUGGGGGAAACCCUGAUGCAGCGACGCCGCGUGAGUGAAGAAGUAUUUCUGUAUGUAAAGCUCUAUCAGCAGGGAAGAUAAUGACGGUACCUGAGUAAGAAGCCCCGGCUAACUACGUGCCAGCAGCCGCGGUAAUACGUAGGGGGCAAGCGUUAUCCGGAAUUACUGGGUGUAAAGGGAGAGUAGGCGGCAAGGUAAACGAUAUGUGAAAGC